rnacentral:rRNA from 1 species
GAUGAACGCUGGCGGCGUGCCUAAUACAUGCAAGUCGAGCGAACAGACGAGGAGCUUGCUCCUCUGACGUUAGCGGCGGACGGGUGAGUAACACGUGGAUAACCUACCUAUAAGACUGGGAUAACUUCGGGAAACCGGAGCUAAUACCGGAUAAUAUAUUGAACCGCAUGGUUCAAUAGUGGAAGACGGUUUUGCUGUCACUUAUAGAUGGAUCCGCGCCGCAUUAGCUAGUUGGUAAGGUAACAGCUUACCAAGGCAACGAUGCGUAGCCGACCUGAGAGGGUGAUCGGCCACACUGGAACUGAGACACGGUCCAGACUCCUACGGGAGGCAGCAGUAGGGAAUCUUCCGCAAUGGGCGAAAGCCUGACGGAGCAACGCCGCGUGAGUGAUGAAGGUCUUCGGAUCGUAAAACUCUGUUAUUAGGGAAGAACAAAUGUGUAAGUAACUAUGCACGUCUUGACGGUACCUAAUCAGAAAGCCACGGCUAACUACGUG